rnacentral:rRNA from 1 species
UUCAGAGGUCCCGAGCGUUGUUCGGAUUUACUGGGCGUAAAGGGAGCGUAGGCGGUUCGGUAUGUCGAAUGUGAAAGCCCACAACUCAACUGUGGAAAUGCAUUCGAAACUGCCGGGCUAGAGUACUGGAGAGGAGAGCGGAAUUCUUGGUGUAGCGGUGAAAUGCGUAGAUAUCAAGAGGAACACCGGUGGCGAAGGCGGCUCUCUGGACGGCAACUGACGUUGAGGCUCGAAAGCGUGGGGAGCAAACAGGAUUAGAUACCCUGGUA